AGAGGAGACACCAUGAGCUGAACAUAACAGUCAGUGGAAGAGAGGACAGUAACAGGAGACACUAUGAGCUGAACAUAUCAGGAGACACUAUGAGCUGAACAUAACAGUCAGUGGAAGAGAGGACAGUAACAGGAGACACUAUGAGCUGAACAUAACAGUCAGUGGAAGGGAGGACAGUAACAGGAGACACAAUGAGCUGAACAUUACAGGAGACACUAUGAUGUGAACAUAACAGUCAGUGGAAGAGAGGACAGUAACAGGAGACACUAUGAGCUGAACAUAACAGUCAGUGGAAGAGAGGACAGUAACAGGAGACACUAUGAGCUGAACAUAACAGGAGACACUAUGAACAUAACAGUCAGUGGAAGGGAGGACAGUAACAGGAGACACUAUGCGCUGAACAUAACAGUCAGUGGAAGAGAGGACAGUAACAGGAUACACUAUGAACAUAACAGUCAGUGGAAGAGAGGACAGUAACAGGAGACACUAUGAACAUAACAGUCAGUGGAAGGGAGGACAGUAACAGGA
rnacentral:lncRNA from 13 species